ACACGAAUGAACACGAGUGAACUCGAAUGGAACACGAGUGAACACUAAUGAACACAAGUGAACACAAAUGAACACGAAUGAACACGAGUGAACACGAAUGAACACGAGUGAACACGAAUGAACACGAGUGAACAAGAAUGGAACACGAGUGAACACAACUGAACACCAUGGGCGUACCGGAAGGAAAAAAUUAGGGGGGCGGAAAGAAAAUUGCCCGACUUUUCGGAUUCUGCCCCCCCCCCGGUCAGUGUACCAUUUUUCGGUCAGUGUACCAUUUUAGGGGUCAAAAAAAUUUUCCGGACAACCAAUAUUUUU